CUAGUAACGGCGAGUGAAGCGGCAACAGCUCAAAUUUGAAAUCUGGCUUCGGCCCGAGUUGUAAUUUGCAGAGGAAGCUUUAGGCGCGGCACCUUCUGAGUCCCCUGGAACGGGGCGCCAUAGAGGGUGAGAGCCCCGUAUAGUUGGAUGCCUAGCCUGUGUAAAGCUCCUUCGACGAGUCGAGUAGUUUGGGAAUGCUGCUCAAAAUGGGAGGUAAAUUUCUUCUAAAGCUAAAUACCGGCCAGAGACCGAUAGCGCACAAGUAGAGUGAUCGAAAGAUGAAAAGCACUUUGAAAAGAGGGUUAAAUAGCACGUGAAAUUGUUGAAAGGGAAGCGCUUGUGACCAGACUUGCGCCGGGCGGAUCAUCCGGUGUUCUCACCGGUGCACUCCGCCCGGCUCAGGCCAGCAUCGGUUCUCGCGGGGGGAUAAAGGUCCUGGGAACGUAGCUCCUCCGGGAGUGUUAUAGCCCGGGGCGUAAUGCCCUCGCGGGGACCGAGGUUCGCGCAUCUGCAAGGAUGCUGGCGUAAUGGUCAUCAGCGACCCGUCUUGAAACACGGACCCCUGUGUGAAAU
rnacentral:rRNA from 1 species